rnacentral:rRNA from 1 species
GGGGGGGGGGGGGGGGGGGGUGGGGGGGGGGGGGUGGGGGGGGGAGGGGGUGGGGGUGUGGGGUGCUCGAGGGGCGAACGGGUGAGGAACACGGGGGUAAGCUGCGGUGGAGUUGGGGAUAACUUCAGGAAACUGGGGCUAAUGCGGGACAGGAGCUCCUGCUGCAUGGGGGGGGGUGGAAAGUUUGGGCGGUUGGGGGUGGACUCGCGGCUGAUCAGCUUGUUGGUGGGGUAGUGGCUUACCAAGGCUUUGACGUGUAGCCGGCCUGAGCGGGGGACCGGCCACAUUGGGACUGAGAUACGGCCCAGACUCCUACGGGAGGCAGCAGUGGGGAAUAGUGCACAAUGGGCGGAAGCCUGAUGCAGCAACGCCGCGUGCGGGAUGACGGCCUUCGGGUUGUAAACCGCGUUCGCCUGUGACGAAGCGUGAGUGACGGUAAUGGGUAAAGAAGCACCGGCUAACUACGUG